GUGUGAAUGACGGGCACAUGCCCUUACACACCUAUGUGCAUACGCACCUAGGAGCCUUAACCGGGCAGCGCCUGCGUGACAUGAGUGCAUGAAUGUUUCAAGGUCCUGUGGUUCAUGUGUCGGACGACCUAGGACCACCUGACCCUGCAAUUGUGUUUGCUUCAGGUGUUGCCCUGGUGCCUCCGUAAACAACCACCUAAAGUAUGAAUGACAAGACACAUCCUCUCCACAGCUCUCUGGUUAUAUGUGCACUUAAGGCCGACUCCAUUGCAAUUGGUAUAUUUGCCGGAGGACAGGUUGAUGUGUUCUACCCACAGCAAAUACCUUUGCCACAUCCAAUGUGGAGCUGCUCCUCAACUUUCUAGGUAUCUCUCGGCUUCUUUGCUCUUGCUUGUUUUCACCACAAAAAAAGCUUUCCUGGUAUCAGCAAAAAAAAUUGUAACGUAUCAGCUGUUCAGGGGAAGCCAGCUAGAGUUCACUCAGUUUCCUAUGUUCCUAAUUAUCAAUAGAAAAUAAAGAGUUACAGAUUGAUUAGAGCUAAGGCUGGAAAGUUGUGGUUACCUGGUUGUAAUGUGGUUGGUUGGUUGGUUGGUUGGUUGUUUUUUCCAAUACAAUAUGUUGUAUGGAAUAUUAAUGUGUUAUAUGAUUCCCCCUUUCUUCCCAGGGCAUACAGUUGUACCUUGGAUCCCGAUCCUGAACGCCUUGUGAGUUGUUGAACGUUUUGGUUCCUGAACACAUUAAACCUGGAAGUGACUGUUCCGGUUUGCAAAUGUUCUUUGGAACCCGAACGUCCGAUGGGGCUUCCGCUGCUUCCGAUUGGCUGAAGCAGCUUCCUGCAGCCAAUCGGAAGCCGCACUUUGGUUUCCGAACGUUUUAGAAGUCGAUCAGACUUUUGGAACAGUUUCUGUUCGACUUCCGAGGUACCACUGUAAUUUAUUUCUGUAUAUGUUUUUCAAUCUGAGUUGCUAGAAAACCCUUUGGGUGGAAAGUGACUAAAUAAUAAUAAUAAUAAUAAUAAUAAUAAUAAUAAUAAUAAUUUAUUUGUUUUUAUUGUGAGCUGCUUUUGGGAAGAAAUGGCAGGAUGCAGGGGUUGGUUUUUUUUAAAGUAAUAAAUACGUUUCUGUGGAAGUCAUUGUUGCCAAGGAUGGUCUCUCGGCAAGAUGUAAGCUGUGAGUCUCUUCAGCUCACACGUGUCCUGCCAUCGCUGGAUUUUCAGCUGCCUGUUUAUUAAUGGCAUGCUGGGACUCUGCCAAGCGCACUGCAAGAUGUGGGCCUGCUGGGGUUCCAUAUUGAGCUGUAGCCGUGCCAGCAAUGCUCUCCUCAUCAAUGUAACGAUUCUUUGCCUAAUGAUAGGGUUGAAGCUGAAAUGUUCAUUUUUAAAGAGGGGGGAAAGGUGCGUAGGGAGCUGGAGCCAAAUGAGGCACUCCAAUCUGCCUUCUGGAUACACUUUAAGAAUGGUCUCUUUCAUCGCUAAAGUCUUCAUCUGUCAGAGGGACACAAAAAAAGCACAUUUGCACAUGUAUUUGGCCUGAAGUGUAUAAUUUUGUUGGUGUAUGUUGAACACACAGCUGUGUAUCUUUCAGGCAGCAGGUGAAACAAGUUCGUAAACCAGAUAUACGAUUCCCCCCCCCAACCUAGAUUACAAUCAAUGCAUUUUAGAAUAAAACUCUGUAAAAAAAACCCGAAUAGGUUUGUUCUGAAUGUCAGUAAUUGCAAUCUGGCAGUCCAGGGUUUUAAGUACCAUUCAAAUCGUGGGUAGGAGUCCUGUAGCCAUCUUAGCACUGUGGGAUGUUUGGCUCCCACAGAAGGCAGCAGUGGCGGCCGCCAUCUUGGAUUAGACAGAUUCGCGGAGGUAAAGGCUAUCAGUGGCUAUUAGUGACGAUGGCUAUGCUCUGCCUUCAUGGUUGGAGGCUGUAUGUUUCCAUACCCUCCAACAUUUCUCUGAUGAAAAUAGGGACAUUCUGAACACCCGUUGCUAGAAAUCAUAGGAGGGGAGAAUGUUCCUGUGCUUGGGUCCUGUUUGUGGACUUCCCAUAGCCAUCUGGUUGGUUACUAUGAGAAUAGGAUGCUGGACUCGAUGGACCACUGGCCUGAUCCUGCAGCUCCUCCCUCCAUAACGUUGAGCAUCUUGGUAGCACAUAAUAGAAGAUCAUUGAAACGAAGUGUGCGUCUUAGGUAUUCAUUCUGCACUGCAUGUCGGUGCUUGCUUCAUGCUAGCUUAAAGCGGACCAUGUCAAGCCGCAGUAAAAAUGUUUGUUUUUAAAGUGUGCUAAGCUCCGUUCAUUUCUUUCUCUUCCUUGCACGCAAGCUGCAAAAGGAACAGCGCACUGACAACUGGACUCGUCUCCUUCCAAAGUAGAACCGCCAAAGGACUGAGUCAGCAGCACAGAGAGUGUUUUUUUGGUAAACGAACGCCUGAGCUAUUUGCCCCGGACAAUGGCUUCAUUUCCCCAUGUAAGCAAAACCUCUGCAUAGUUGCCGUUAGUUACCAGAAUGCAAAGAGGUCUGUUAGCUGGGGCAGUCGUGUUACACGAGACGAGAGUCUGGGAGAUAAUAAAUCGCCCCUGUUAAGCGUCGCUCAGGGUCUACAAUUCAGCACAGGACUGUCAGAAACCACUGACAAUACCAAUACAUAUUUGGAUUUAAGUACAGUGGUACCUCGGGUUACAUACGCUUCAGGUUACAGACUCCGUUAACCCAGAAAUAGUGCUUCAGGUUAAGAACUUUGCUUCAGCAUAAGAACAGAAAUCGGGCUCUGGCAGCACAGUGGCAGCAGGAGGCCCCAUUAGCUAAAGUGGUGCUUCAGGUUAAGAACAGUUUCAGGUUAAGAACGGACCUCCGGAACGAAUUAAGUACUUAACCCAAGGUACCACUGUACUCGGAUACCUCCUAUGUGAACCUCUCAGCGCUUCUGUGUUUACAGUACGUAGAUUAUUUUGUGGAAGUGGGUUUUGUGGAAGUGGGUUUCGUUUUGGGGGUCCCUUUGAGAGCCUCGGUAGAAAAUACUGAGGUAUUAGACAGCACAGUAAGUGCAAGCUGAAAAUCUCUAGGUCGGUGCUUCCCAACUUUGGGUCUCCAGCUGUUUUUGGACUACAACUCCCAUCAUUCCUAGCUAGCAGGACCAGUGGUCAGGGAUGAUGGGAGUUGUAGUCCAAAAACAGCUGGAGACCCAAGGUUGGAAAACACUGCUCCAGGUCGUUUCUACGCUUGUUCAAGCUUAGGAGAAUUUCAUGGUGCUAUAGAUACUUUUAGUUAUCUUGAUGGAGUAACAUCUAGGAUGUGGGGUUAGAGUUACAGAAAUGCAUGUGGACUAUGUGGCUUGGGGCGGGGGCUGUAGCUCGUUAGGAAAGCACUUGGUUUUCAUUCAGAUGGUAGCAGGUUCACCCCCCAGCUGGGGAUUGGACUGGGAAAGUCAUCUUGUCCCCCAAAGUCAACUUUGGAGAACCAGGCCUUUAAGAAGCAUGAAGGCUCUUCAGUCAAAACGCCAACACUCACCCACAGCCACAACACUUUAGGCAAAACCGUAGCAUAUAUCAAUUCAGAGUAAAUCAAGACUGUCUAAACUCGUGACAAAUUGAAAGGAAGUGAGAGGGACAGUGUGGCACUGCAUGCAUAUAGGGGGCAGUGAGGGAGAAUGGGUGGAGCAGUUUAAGGGAGCAGAAGUCCUUUUGUUCGCUGAAGGUAGUAGAUCUGGAAGGGCACACGUCGCAAGCAGGGAUCUGAAGAGAAACAAGGGUCAGAAGACGAGGCAAGGUCAUGUUAAAGUGAGGACAAGGAGUUUGGGCUGGAGACAGGAAGCCUGUGAGGGGAUCUGAUAACAUUCAGCCACAAUGAGUACAUCAGCACCAUUUCAACAUUGACAAAGUAGCUCUGAUUGCUCCCACACAUUACAUGUCGGACAAUUAGAUUUUGCCACUUUGUGUGCGUGUGUUUAAUUAGGAGCUGCUGCAACCAUUCUCGCAUCUUGAUGAGUGUACCUGCAUGACAGACAUGUGUCCAAACACAUAUAUUUAUAUGCCUAGCACGGUUAAUUUAAAAACACCAACCUCUAAGCAGUUUACGAUACAUACAAAAUAAAUAUAAAAUCUUAAGGAUAUGCAGAUAGAAAUCAACAGAUGUUGAAAACAAGUAGGCAUAAUAAAAUGAUCAGAUACAAAUAGAUAUAAUAAAAUUAUCUGUCUGCCUGUCCAUACAUUUUUUUUCUUUUUUAAGGCUGGCAUCGAAAACAGUACAAUCGGGGUGCUUGCCUAGUAUUUAUUUAUUUGUGUUAUUUACAUUUUCAGGUGUAUACUUCAAAUAAUUUAAAGUGAGAAGUGGCUGUUAAGUGAAAACAGAAAAAGUACUGUUUGAUGUUCACUCAUUCACUUAUACCUUACCACAAACAUUGCUUGUUUUGGUGAAACACAUGCAAACAAAGAAUCGGGGCCUCUGUAAGUACAUUUGCUUUCAGUGCUUUCUAUCAGUUUAUAUUUUCCACCUUAACCUUUGUUUGGCUAUUAUCUACCCAGUUAUUUCUAACUAUAACUUUUAAGGCCAAAGGGGUUUUCCAUUUAUUCUUAACAUUUCUUCACUAAAAGCAGUUUUACUCCAGCCAAUGGAUCUACAGUACUUAAAAGGUUUCGCUUACCUAACUCUUUGCAGAGUUGGGGCCUAGUUACAGGGCGUUUUUAAACAGCCAUUGUAUCAAAAUGCUGGCUUUUUUCUUAUUUCUCUCCUCCUUUAUAAUGUGCUUAUUUCCACUCUCGCCCCCUGCCAAGCAAAGCCCAUUCACUAUUUCAUGCCAGAAACUUUUUUUAAGGGAAUAAAACUUUGCCAGAUAAAGAGACAUGCCAGACGGGAAGUGGAUGAGCGUGGGGUGGUUUUUUUUGGGGGGGGAGGGGUUUAAAAUUAGCCUCCAGCCAGUCCUGAAUGAAAGGAGGAAAGGGCUAAAGGAAUAAACGUGUAUACACACACACACACACACACACACACACACACACACACUUUGUAAGGAAGCCCCCGCCAUCCCAUUCCUCUGUGGAGCUCCAGUUUCGCUCUUCAAAAUGCUUGAUUGCAUUAUGCUGUUGUGAACAGACAAGCUUAGCAAGUGAACAGUAAAUCUAAUCAGUUUGGCAUAAGGGGUUUCAUGGGAUCAGGGCAGACAAUAGGAAUAGUUGUGCGAGCUUCGCUGACUUCAAGUGAUUCACUAGUUUAUCCAUUAGAGCCAAAGUCGUAACAAAGCAACCAUUAAUUACUGAUGUGCAGGACUCACCAACGAUGGGCGGGGGUUGAGUGACCCAUUCACGACAAUUCGGGAAAGCCAUUGUCUUAAGAGAAGCAAUUAAUACACGAUGGUUUGUAGCGGUUCUAUUCUUUCACUGCUCAUCCAUAAUUCUCUUCCCUAAGCUUUUACUCUAAUGGCCUUUUUGACAAAACCUAGAAAACUGUUACUGGAAUAUAGAACUAAUCCUCAUAGUUUUGGAACAAACCUUAACAGAAAGCAAGUUCUAAGUUAUCUUCAGUUCUUACGUUAAUAAUUCCCAGAGGAACUCCACGCUCCCCCUGUAAGUCCCAGCACUCAAAAUCUGAGUGUCAAAAAUAAUAUUUUUGUUACAAGUAAUUACUGGUUUGAACAGACUCUCUUGGUCUUCUUUUCAGUCUUCUCAGAAUCUUGGGCACAUCAUAGAGUUUUCCCCACAAAUAGACCAACAGUCCAUCGUUGAUACACAAUUCAGACUGAUUAUUUAACGGCAUGGGUGACCUGUGAACCUCUAGAAGCUAUUUGAUGGUGGCUCUCAUCAUCCCUGACCAUUGGUCAUGCUAGCCAAAGUUGAUGGCAGUUGGAGAACCCUGGGAAAUUCCAGGGUAAAAUGAACACAAUGGAAACCACUCCCAAAUUGUCCCAGGCUACAUAACAUACCAUACGUUUAAAGCACAUUUCCUCCCAGAAUCCUAGGAACUUUAGUUUACCCCUUAGAGAGCUACAGUUCCCUUAACAAACUACAGUUUCCAGGAUUCUUUGCGGGGACGUCGUGUGCUUUAAAUGUAUGUCCUAAAUGUUUACAUCCAAGUAUCUGGAUCAGGAAAUAAGGGUACCGUAUUUUUUGCUCUAUAAGACUCACUUUUUCCCUCCUAAAAAGUAAGGGGAAAUGUGUGUGCAUCUUAUGGAGCGAAUGCAGGCUGCGCAGCUAUCCCAGAAGCCAGAACAGCAGGAGGGAUUGCUGCUUUCACUGCGCAGCGAUCCCUCUUGCUGUUCUGGCUUCUGAGAUUCAGAAUAUUUUUUUUCUUGUUUUCCUCCUCCAAAAACUAGGUGCGUCUUGUGGUCUGGUGCGUCUUAUAGAGCGAAAAAUACGGUAAGUCCUGUUGGUUCAUUUCUCCGUUCAAUAGGUGUAAAUGCAGAACUCUUGACAAAACACCCUUGCACAGAUCGAUGUCAUGCUCACUUUCAGAUAAGGAUAGAAACAAACACAAGUUGGUUGCUUUCACGAUUUAUUCAGUCAGUGAAUUUUGGUGAAAUGUCUGCCGGAGGUUUCCUUCCUGCUGGAAGACAUUUCUUCAUCAUGACUGCAGCGAGCCAACACCUAAAUAUUUUGAUGUGCUCUGUCUCCACACGCCAGAGAUGAAGACGAUUCAUACCCUCAGGUGGCUUUUACAUGAGGUAUUUACACUGCUGCUCCUGGGUGUCUAUUAUCCAGUCCUGUAGUGGGUGGAAGAUAACAUCACAGGAGUUAAGCAAUAAUGUCUCUAAUGAAUCAAAUAGUGUCAUGAACCAGCAGUCUUUUAAUAUCAAACAGAUUAACUUUCACUGAGUCACAGCCAGCCAGAUCUGCAAACCACACGGAGUCAGCACAUUUGGGCUAAUACAGGUUAAGGCCAAAAUCACACAUUCGCUUUCAAAUGCUUUAAUGAUCACUCCGGAAUCUGCGUCACUUAAUGCCCUGACAAGGCAUGCGUUUCCUGCUUUACAGUCGCUGUGUUCCUCCAACUUGUGCAGAAGACCUUCAGCCAAAUUGCUGGCCCACACCCUGACUUGGAGGAGAUGCGGUUGCUGACAAUCUAACCCUCCCGAAUUCUUCAUUACCUGCCGUGCUGCAUCACCAUUUAUUUGACUGUCUUCCCAACCCUGGUCUCCAUGAAACUGACAGUUGUGGGUGGGUAGGUGGGAGUGGAAUCCUUGUAAAUAUCACAAAAACCUCUCUUUGAUCUUAAAUGAACGUUUUAAUUGAAAUAUUGAUAGGGACACAACCCAGUUGUGCUCCAGGAAGAUACCUCUGUACAGGAAGGGGGAAAUGUUUCUGUUAUGUACUGAAGUUCUCACCCUGGGCCAGCAGGGGGAUAUUGUAGAUAGUUAUGCAAAUAAGGGAUCGAAAGUGACGUUCAGUGAUUGGAUAGUUUUAGAAAAUUGUUACAGUUACGUUGUACUGGAGCUGUAUAUAAGCAGGCUGACUGAACCCUUCUGUUCAGUUCUGUUCUGGCCUGUGAAUAAACAAGAGCUGUUUGAAGAA